AUUGAGCGCUGGCGGCAUGCCUUACACAUGCAAGUCGAGCGGUAAGGCCCUUCGGGGUACACGAGCGGCGAACGGGUGAGUAACACGUGGGUGACCUGCCUCUAGCUCUGGGAUAAGCCUGGGAAACUGGGUCUAAUACCGGAUAUGACUCCACGGCGCAUGUUGUGGGGUGGAAAGCCUUGUGCGGCUGGAGAUGGGCCCGCGGCCUAUCAGCUUGUUGGUGGGGUGAUGGCCUACCAAGGCGACGACGGGUAGCCGGCCUGAGAGGGCGACCGGC
rnacentral:rRNA from 1 species